rnacentral:ncRNA from 1 species
GUGAGCCGCAUGCGGGGAGACCCGCACGUACGGUUUUUAGGGGGAAGAGUUUGACAACCGCUUGGCUUGGCUUGGGGACCAAAUAGCGGGUACAAGUAGAAGAGGUAGAGGUACAAAACACGUGACUAGUCUUCUCGGCUGGAAUCAAAAAAGAUUCUCCGCUCUGCUCCUAC